rnacentral:lncRNA from 1 species
AAUAAAGAAAAUAAAAUGUUUCAAAUUAUGAAAAAGAAGAAUUAAAGUUGGGAAAUAUUGGAUUCAAUCGAUAUGGCGACAUAAAAGACAUCAAGAAAUAUACUGGUGUCAGAAUUUGGAGUACAAUACGUUGUUUUGAAGAUAAUCACGAGCAAAACAAGACUUAUGGAUAUACAAUGAACCUGUCAUGUUUAGGGGUGAAAUUUUUGUCAAAUUACCAUAC